rnacentral:rRNA from 1 species
GUUGUUCGGAAUCACUGGGCUUAAAGGGCGCGUAGGCGGCUUCCCAAGUCCGGGGUGAAAUCUUUCGGCUUAACCGGAAAAGUGCCUUGGAUACUGGGAGGCUCGAGGGGGGUAGGGGCAAGCGGAACUUCCGGUGGAGCGGUGAAAUGCGUUGAUAUCGGAAGGAACGCCGGCGGCGAAAGCGGCUUGCUGGACCCCAUCUGACGCUGAUGCGCGAAAGCCAGGGGAGCGAACGGG